rnacentral:rRNA from 1 species
AGUGAACGCUGGCGGUAGGCCUAACACAUGCAAGUCGGACGGCAGCACAGGAGAGCUUGCUCUCUGGGUGGCGAGUGGCGGACGGGUGAGGAAUAUAUCGGAAUCUACUCUGUCGUGGGGGAUAACGUAGGGAAACUUACGCUAAUACCGCAUACGACCUACGGGUGAAAGCAGGGGACCUUCGGGCCUUGCGCGAUUGAAUGAGCCGAUGUCGGAUUAGCUAGUUGGCGGGGUAAAGGCCCACCAAGGCGACGAUCCGUAGCUGGUCUGAGAGGAUAAUCAGCCACACUGGAACUGAGACACGGUCCAGACUCCUGCGGGGGGCAGCAGUGGGGAAUAUUGGACAAUGGGCGCAAGCCUGAUCCAGCCAUACCGCGUGGGUGAAGAAGGCCUUCGGGUUGUAAAGCCCUUUUGUUGGGAAAGAAAUCCAGCUGGCUAAUACCCGGUUGGGAUGACGGUACCCAAAGAAUAAGCACCGGCUAACUUCGUGCCAGCAGCCGCGGUAA